UAGUGCGGAGAGGACUAACAUCGCGUGCUUUACCACGGUCUAUGUCGUCGGCAGGGGAGAGAGAGAGAGAGAGAGAGAGAGAGAGAGAGAGCCAUGGCCUUCCAAUUCGAGGAGAGAGAGCUUCUGGCUUGCUGCGGGAGCACAAGAUUCGCUCGGGAGAUGGCAAGGCUCUCUCCGUUCGCUACUUAUGAUCAAGCACUAGAGAUGGCGAGGGACAUAUGGUUGAACAAUGUUGACACUAAUGGAUGGUUGGAGGCUUUCUCUGCUCAUCCACAGAUUGGAGAGACUCCUGCAAACCAAGAAAGCGGGAUGCAUGCACAGUGGUGUAAAGGAGAGCAGUCGAUGGCUAUGGCAACUGCAACUGCCUCUAAUUUACAAGAACUUCAUGAAUGGAAUAUUCGUUACAAACAAAAAUUUGGAUUUAUUUUCAUCAUAUGUGCAUCUGGGAGGACCUCAAAUGAAGUACUUGUAGAGUUGAAGAGGCGCUAUGUGAACCGGCCGAUUGUUGAACUUGAGAUUGCUGCUCUGGAGCAACUGAAGAUAACUGAACUGCGCCUUGCCAAACUCUUCAAGUCUACAGAAGUUUCCCCCUUCCACAGUGGAGAACACAGUGAAAAUUUGAAACCAAAAGUACUUCUGGUUGCAGAUGAACGUUUGAACAAGAUUGGAGCACAUAUAACGGCAGCUGCGCCAUCUACCAGAACCCGCCCUCCAAUCACAACACAUAUUUUAGAUGUUUCGCGAGGAUCCCCUGCAUCUGGCGUUGAGGUUGUAUUGCAGAAGUGGAAUCGGCUAGAAAAGGAGCCAUCAUUUGAUUCAGCAGGUUCAGGUGAUUGGAUCUUCCAGGGAUCAUCGGUCACUGAUACGGAUGGGCGAAGCGGCCAGCUGAUGCCUAUAGUUGAUCACGUAUCUCCUGGAAUUUAUAGGAUCAGUUUCAAUACGAGAAAGUACUUUCCUGGCGGGUUUUACCCUUAUGUGUCAAUCGUGUUCAAGAUUAAAGAGGAUCAAACAUCCCAACAUUUCCAUGUUCCGCUGUUGCUGUCACCGUUCUCGUUUACUACAUAUCGCGGCAGUUAAAGAGCUCCUUGUUGCUGCACGUAUGAUCAUCUGAUGCCAUUUCGGAAGAGGGUGGUGCCUUUUCUCUACAAUGAUGUCCUUUCACGUAGAGCGACCCGGUGUUAGCGUUUGAUGCGCAACAAACGUGCUCCCCACAACCUGGUUUUUCUGUUCCUUUACAGUUACAAGGUCACCUGGCAAGCAUUCCUCACAGGAACGCGCUGGAGCACAUUCCGUCCACCAGAUUUGCGUCGACAGUAGAUCUUCAGAAGAGCACUAAUGAAACACCCUCCCUUUUCCCAAUGGCUCUUAAGCUUCCGUAUGAUUUGGAUCUUGCUUGUUCAUUGAUCGAUCUAUUUUAAGGGCAUACUAUAGCUGGGGGAAGAGGCGUGUUUCUUAACUCAAUUCCUGUGGACAUUAUAUCCUUUUUUAUUAACUCAAUUCCUGUGGACAUUAUAUCAUGAAACCUCUC